rnacentral:misc_RNA from 1 species
AAAGUCGUAACAAGGUCUCCGUUGGUGAACCAGCGGAGGGAUCAUUACCGAGUUUACAACUCCCAAACCCCUGUGAACAUACCUAUUGUUGCCUCGGCGGAUCAGCCCGGCCCCGGUAAAACGGGACGGCCCGCCAGAGGACCCCUAAACUCUGUUUUUAGUGUAACUUCUGAGUAAAACAAACAAAUAAAUCAAAACUUUCAACAACGGAUCUCUUGGUUCUG